GACGAACGCUGGCGGCGUGCUUAACACAUGCAAGUCGAACGGAAAGGCCCUGCUUUUGUGGGGUGCUCGAGUGGCGAACGGGUGAGUAACACGUGAGUAACCUGCCCUUGACUUUGGGAUAACUUCAGGAAACUGGGGCUAAUACCGGAUAGGAGCUCCUGUUGCAUGGUGGGGGUUGGAAAGUUUCGGCGGUUGGGGAUGGACUCGCGGCUUAUCAGCAUGUUGGUGGGGUAGUGGCUUACCAAGGCUUUGACGGGUAGCCGGCCUGAGAGGGUGACCGGCCCCAGUGGGACUGGGAUGCGGGCCAGAGUGCUACGGGGGGCAGCGGUGGGAAACAUUGCGAAAUGGGCGGAAGCCGGAUGCAGCAACGCCGCGUGCGGGAUGACGGUCUUAGGGGUGUAAACCGCUUUCGCCUGUGACGAAGAGUGAGUGACGGUAAUGGGUAAAGAAGCACCGGCUAACUACGUG
rnacentral:rRNA from 1 species